rnacentral:rRNA from 1 species
GACAGAGGGUGCAAACGUUGUUCGGAAUUACUGGGCGUAAAGCGCGUGUAGGCGGUUUGGUAAGUCGGAUGUGAAAGCCCGGGGCUCAACCUCGGAAGUGCAUUCGAUACUACCAUACUCGAGUACUGGAGAGGAUGGUGGAACUCUCGGUGUAGAGGUGAAAUUCGUAGAUAUCGAGAAGAACACCGGUGGCGAAGGCGGCCAUCUGGACAGAUACUGACGCUGAGACGCGAAAGCGUGGGGAG